AUUGAACGCUGGCGGCGUGCUUAACACAUGCAAGUCGAUCGGUAACAGGUGUAGCAAUACAUGCUGACGAGAGGCGGACGGGUGAGUAAUGCUUGGGAAUCUGCCUAUUAGUGGGGGACAACCCGGGGAAACUCGGGCUAAUACCGCAUACGCUCUACGGAGGAAAGCCGGGGACCGCAAGGCCUGGCGCUAAUAGAUGAGCCCAAGUCGGAUUAGCUAGUUGGUAGGGAACGGCCUACCAAGGCGACAAUCCGUAGCUGGUCUGAGAGGACGACCAGCCACACCGGAACUGAGACACGGUCCGGACUCCUACGGGAGGCAGCAGUGGGGAAUAUUGGACAAUGGGGGCAACCCUGAUCCAGCGACGCCGCGUGGGUGAAGAAGGCCUGCGGGUUGUAAAGCCCUUUCGGUGGGGAAGAAAAGUCUCGACCUAAUACGUCGGGACCUUGACGUAACCCCACUAAAGAAGCACCGGCUAACUCUGUGCCAGCAGCCGC
rnacentral:rRNA from 1 species